UACAGAGGGUGCAAGCGUUGUUCGGAAUUAUUGGGCGUAAAGCGCGUGUAGGCGGCUUGUUAAGUCGGGUGUGAAAGCCCUCAGCUCAACUGAGGAAGUGCGCCCGAAACUGCAGAGCUUGAGUACCGGAGAGGAUGGCGGAAUUCCCCAAGUAGAGGUGAAAUUCGUAGAUAUGGGGAGGAACACCGGUGGCGAAGGCGGCCAUCUGGACGGAUACUGACGCUGAGACGCGAAAGCGUGGGUAGCAAACAGG
rnacentral:rRNA from 1 species